GCCCAGGUGGUGGAAUUGGUAGACACGCAUGAUUCAGGUUCAUGUGCCGAGAGGUGUGGGGGUUCGAGUCCCCCCCUGGGCACCA
rnacentral:tRNA from 2 species